rnacentral:rRNA from 1 species
CGACCGGCGCACGGGUGCGUAACGCGUAUGCAACCUACCCUGUACUGGAGGAUAGCCCGGAGAAAUCCGGAUUAAUACUCCAUGGUAAUACACUUUCGCAUGUUAGUGUAUUUAAAGAUUACGGUACAGGAUGGGCAUGCGUCCUAUUAGCUAGAUGGUAAGGUAACGGCUUACCAUGGCAACGAUAGGUAGGGGGCCUGAGAGGGUGAUCCCCCACACUGGUACUGAGACACGGACCAG